AGAGUUUGAUCAUGGCUCAGAAUCAACGCUGGCGGCGCGCCUAACACAUGCAAGUCGAACGAGAAAGCAGGAGCAAUCUUGUGAGUAAAGUGGCGUACGGGUGAGUAACACGUGGAUCAUCUACCUUCUAGUGGGGGAUAACCCUGGGAAACCGGGGCUAAUACCGCAUAAGUCCGAGAGGAGAAAGCAGCAAUGCGCUGGAAGAGGAGUCCGCGGCCGAUUAGUUAGUUGGCAGGGUAAAAGCCUACCAAGACAAAGAUCGGUAGCCGGCCUGAGAGGGCACACGGCCACACUGGCACUGAAACACGGGCCAGACUCCUACGGGAGGCAGCAGUGGGGAAUCUUGCACAAUGGGGGCAACCCUGAUGCAGCGACGCCGCGUGAGCGAUGAAGCCCUUCGGGGUGUAAAGCUCUUUCGGCAGGGAAGAUUAUGACGGUACCUGCAGAAGCAGCUGCGGCUAACUACGUGCCAGCAGCCGCGGUAAUACGUAGGCAGCAAGCGUUGUUCGGAGUUACUGGGCGUAAAGGGUGUGUAGGCGGUCUUCUAAGUUUGGUGUGAAAUCUCCCGGCUCAACUGGGAGGGUGCGCCGAAAACUGGGAGGCUAGAGUACUGGAUGGGAGAGUGGAAUUCCUGGUGUAGCGGUGAAAUGCGUAGAUAUCAGGAGGAACACCUGUGGUGUAGACGGCUCUCUGGACAGUAACUGACGCUGAGACACGAAAGCGUGGGUAGCAAACAGGAUUAGAUACCCCGGUAGUCC
rnacentral:rRNA from 1 species